rnacentral:tRNA from 1 species
GCCAGAGUGGCGGAAUAGGCAUACGCGGCGGUCUCAAAAACCGUUGAGGGUAACCUCAUGUGGGUUCAAUUCCCACCUCUGGCA